rnacentral:tRNA from 1 species
CCGCCCAUAGCUCAAUUUGGCAGAGCAGCUCCCUCUUAAGGAGACGGUUCUAGGUUCAAGUCCUAGUGGGCGGA